rnacentral:tRNA from 1 species
CAGGGCGUAGCUAAACAACAUAGCAGUUCCCCUACACUGAACAGUCAUUCGUGCAAAUCGAAUCACCCUGAC